AGUGAACGCUGGCGGCGUGCUUAACACAUGCAAGUCGAACGAGAACGGAUUAUAGCUUGCUAUAAUUGUCAGCUAAGUGGCGCACGGGUGAGUAAUGUAUAGGUAAUAUGCCUCUUACUAAGGGAUAACAAAUGGAAACGUUUGCUAAUACCUUAUACUCCUUAUUAACAGAAGUUAAUAAGGGAAAGAUUUAUUGGUAAGAGAUUAGCCUGUAUUGUAUCAGUUAGUUGGUGGGGUAAUGGCUUACCAAGACUAUGACACAUAACUGGUUUGAGAGGAUGAUCAGUCACACUGGAACUGAGACACGGUCCAGACUCCUACGGGAGGCAGCAGUGGGGAAUAUUGCACAAUGGACGAAAGUCUGAUGCAGCAACGCCGCGUGGAGGAUGACACAUUUCGGUGCGUAAAACUCCUUUUAUAUGAGAAGAUAAUGACGGUAUUAUAUGAAUAAGCACCGGCUAACUCCGUGCCAGCAGCCGCGGU
rnacentral:rRNA from 1 species